rnacentral:rRNA from 1 species
UACGAAGGGGGCUAGCGUUGUUCGGAUUUAUUGGGCGUAAAGAGCUCGUAGGCGGCUUGUCACGUCGGGUGUGAAAGCCCGGGGCUUAACCCCGGGUCUGCAUUCGAUACGGGCAGGCUAGAGUGUGGUAGGGGAGAUCGGAAUUCCUGGUGUAGCGGUGAAAUGCGCAGAUAUCAGGAGGAACACCGGUGGCGAAGGCGGGUCUCUGGGCCGUAACUGACGCUGAGGAGCGAAAGCGUGGGGAGCGAACAGG